UGAGUUGACAGAAAAGCGUAGUACGAUCUUCGGUCAACAGAUGUUGCGAGGCACUGUUGACAUUAGACAGUUAUUGAAAUAACUGCUUGUAUCAGAGGAACGGUUAUCGCAGUAACCGUUACUUCUCAGUAACUGGUUAUUUCUAUCAGUUACGUUUUUUUUUUUUUUGCCACCACCAGCAGUAUUGCAGAUGCUUUUCCAGACGUGAAGUUGCCGGAGUAAUACGUGCACUUGCGCCGGAAUGGAAAGCAAAUGACAGCAGUCUUUGGGACGAUGAGACACUGAAAGCUGCUGGCAUCAAAACCAGCAAACGUGGCCGUCCUCAGAACCGGUGCUUGAAACACUUACUAGGU